GUUUUUACAAAGCCAGGCACAUUCUCACACAGGGCCCUGGAUCAUAUGGAAUCCCGAGCAGAUGGCCACAUUCACUGGGACUGUGGGUCAAACAUAUGCUCUCCAGGCUCUUGUGUAGAAUGGAAUCCGUGAGCGCCGGAAAGAGCUGGGGGUGGGGAGCUCAACCUAGCUACUGUAAGACCACGGGACAGAGAAAGAAACACUUGCAAGUUGUUAGGAUCAAGCAUUCUCAUGCAAAAGAAUCAGCUGACUGAUAGUUUCACAUUUGCAAUGCUGUGACUGUAAGGGCUUUUUGCAUAAAUUAUCUAGUAGUAGUGUUUGGAUUCAAACAGGUACUUCAAAACUUUUUUUAAGAUUUUAUUUUUUUUUUAAUUAGGAUUAUAAUAUUUGUGUACUAGAAAUUAAAUACGAGGACACAAAACUCUAAAAAGCAUUAAAACCGCACAUUAAAGCAAGAUGUUAAAAAGCUAUAUUAAAUCAGCUAUACUAUAAAACGAUGGAACCAAAAGACUGAUGUUCUCAGGACAAAGAUUGGGUGAAGGGAGAGGCGCUGGAGUUAGGGGAAAUCAGGCCACAAAUGGAGGCAGCAAAAGGGUGGAGAGCAAAGGGAGACUGCUGCUGUUUUCAGAGCCUCUCUGGACUGAAUGGCACUCUUUGUGAUCCUGUCACAGCUCCACAUCCCACAUGUGUUUCAGAAGCAACAGUCCUCUCCCACUGCUGACGAAAGCACUUUAGGAGAGCGACAGAGCAGCCGUCAGAGGACAGGUCUCCAAACCCCUACGUGUUUUUAAAGCAGCCCACACUCUCAGAAAUAAAGGUCAGCGGUCACGCCUCUUUCUUUCACUCGGCACGGCGGCAGUCGCUGGAGCCUGCAGGACGCUUGACAGCUCAGCAAUGGCCCUGCCAACUUUAUCCUCAGAUGAGCUGAUCCAAACAUGACAGAAGGUGGUGUAACUAUGACAGAAGUUGAAGCACAGAAAUUCAGAGGGUGAACACAACACACCAUACCCAAUUGUCCAGGUGACCCAAGAAGACUGGAAGUCCACAUUUGAGGGACGAAGCUCCUGUUCCCUGAAGGUAGACAGGGUCGAGGUGUGUGAAGGCAUGAAGGUAGAGAAAGCCAUGAUCUCCUCAUUUUAUUCAUAUUUUUGUUUUCAAUCUUGAAUACCAACCCAAAAACAAGAACACUCUGACCUUCCUCCAGCGAUGCAUUGCGAAAAUGCCAUCCAAGAUAUCCAUGUCUUUCUUUCCUCAGUGGGAGAGAAAUUGUUUUUUGAGGAAAACAUUUCUGGAUUUUUCUUCUAACAAUGGAGUUCAUUGGUUACCAUCGUUUUUAAGUCC
ensembl:lncRNA